GACGAACGCUGGCGGCGUGCCUAAUACAUGCAAGUCGAGCGGACGAAUCGAAAGCUUGCUUUUGAUUCGUUAGCGGCGGACGGGUGAGUAACACGUGGGCAACCUGCCCUGUAGACGGGUAUAACACCGAGAAAUCGGUGCUAAUACCGGAUAACACGAAAUGUCGCAUGACGUUUCGUUGAAAGACGGCGCAAGCUGCCGCUACAGGAUGGGCCCGCGGCGCAUUAGCUAGUUGGUGAGGUAACGGCUCACCAAGGCGACGAUACGUAGCCGACCUGAGAGGGUGAUCGGCCACACUGGGACUGAGACACGGCCCAGACUCCUACGGGAGGAAGCAGUAGGGAAUCUUCCGAAAUGGACGAAAGUCUGACGGAGCAACGCCGCGUGAGCGAAGAAGGCCUUCGGGUCGUAAAGCUCUGUUGUUAGGGAAGAACAAGUAACGCAGUAACUGGCGUUACCGUGACGGUACCUAACGAGAAAGCCACGGCUAACUACGUG
rnacentral:rRNA from 1 species